rnacentral:rRNA from 1 species
UACAGAGGUCCCAAGCGUUGUUCGGAUUCCCUGGGCGUAAAGGGUGCGUAGGCGGUCGGGUAAGUCUGCUGUGAAAUCUCACAGCUUAACUGUGAAACUGCAUUGGAUACUAUCCGGCUCGAGGAAUGGAGGGGAGACUGGAAUACUUGGUGUAGCAGUGAAAUGCGUAGAUAUCAAGUGGAACACCAGUGGCGAAGGCGAGUCUCUGGACAUUUCCUGACGCUGAGGCAUGAAAGCCAGGGGAGCAAACGGG